rnacentral:rRNA from 1 species
UACAGAGGGUGCAAGCGUUAAUCGGAAUUACUGGGCGUAAAGCGUGCGUAGGUGGUUCUUUAAGUCAGGUGUGAAAUCCCCGGGCUCAACCUGGGAACUGCAUUUGAUACUGAAGAGCUAGAGUGUGGUAGAGGAUAGUGGAAUUCCCGGUGUAGCGGUGAAAUGCGUAGAUAUCGGGAGGAACAUCAGUGGCGAAGGCGGCUAUCUGGACCAACACUGACACUGAGGCACGAAGGCCAGGGGAGCAAACGGG